UCUAAUGGACAUGUUAAUAUAAAAUCUCUAAAGAUAAGCGUGCUCGGGCGAGAGUAAUUCUAUGAUGGGUGACCUCCUGGGAAUUUAAGUUGUGUUGUGA
rfam:Cephalotus follicularis DNA, scaffold: scaffold4671, isolate: St1.